CCCGCAAGGGGAGCGGCAGACGGGAGAGUAACACGUGGGAACAUACCUUUUGGUUCGGAACAACUGAGGGAAACUUCAGCUAAUACCGGAUAAGCCCUUACGGGGAAAGAUUUAUCGCCGAAAGAUUGGCCCGCGUCUGAUUAGCUAGUUGGUGAGGUAACGGCUCACCAAGGCGACGAUCAGUAGCUGGUCUGAGAGGAUGAUCAGCCUCAUUGGGACUGAGACACGGCCCAAACUCCUACGGGAGGCAGCAGUGGGACUCCUACGGGAGGCAGCAGUGGGACUCCUACGGGAGGCAGCAGUGGGACUCCUACGGGAGGCAGCGGAGGGACUCCUACGGGAGGCUGCAGGGGUGAUUUCUAGAAAUCUCCUACAAAUUUCAG
rnacentral:sRNA from 1 species